rnacentral:rRNA from 1 species
GACGAACGCUGGCGGCGUGCUUACCACAUGCAAGUCGAACGGAUUGGCGAACGGGUGAGUAACACGUGGGUGACCAGCCCUGCACUUCGGGAUAAGCCUGGGAAACUAGGUCUAAUACCAGAUCGUGUGGGAUGGGCGCGCGGCCUAUCAGCUUGUUGGUGGGGUAAUGGCCUACCAAGGCGGCGACGGGUAGCCGGCCUGAGAGGGUGGACGGCCACAUUGGGACUGAGGCAGGGCCCAGACUCCUACGGGGGGCAGCAGUGGGGAAUAUUGCACAAUGGGCGGAAGCCUGAUGCAGCGACGCCGCGUGGGGGAUGACGGCCUUCGGGUUGUAAACUCCUUUCACCAUCGACGCGGUAGAUGGAGAAGAAGCACCGGCUAACUACGGGCCAGCCGCCGCGGUAAUUC